rnacentral:rRNA from 1 species
AAUGAACGCUGGCGGCGCGCCUAAUACAUGCAAGUCGAGCGAGAAGACGUAGCAAUACGUUUGUAAAGCGGCGAACGGGUGAGGAAUACAUGGGUAACCUACCCUCGAGUGGGGAAUAACUAGCCGAAAGGUUAGCUAGUACCGCGUACGCUCCUUGGACUUCGGUUCAGGGAGGAAAGCGAUACCGUGGGUAUCGCGCUCUUGGAUGGGCUCAUGUCCUAUCAGCUUGUUGGNGAGGUAACGGCUCACCAAGGCUUCGACGGGUAGCUGGUCUGAGAGGACAAUCAGCCACACUGGCACUGCGACACGGGCCAGACUCCUACGGGAGGCAGCAGUAAGGAAUAUUGCGCAAUGGGCGAAAGCCUGACGCAGCGACGCCGCGUGGGGGA